ACAGACGUACACAGACCUGCGCAACCUUAAUGCCAAAGCUGUGGUCAACGCUCUUCUGAAGGCCUAGAACUGUGUUUAUUUCAUCGCGAUUUUACCAAGUGCAUUAUUUGAGUUUACCAGUUUUAAUUGUCAUCUUUAUGUAUACACCCACAUUCCUUCCUUUGCUUUAUUGUUUGGUGAGGAAGUGUCUCUCAAUAUUACCAGAGAUCUGUAUUGUGUCUUCUACAAUUAUGUAACGUUUGGUGACAUUCAGGAAUAUGUAUACCCAACCGAUCAGAAAAUCAAUAUUCAUUGCAACAUUUCAAUCAUGUGAUUUCCAUUUGAUAUUUUUAUCAUCUAUCAUCUCUAGUCAACAUUAGUUGCAUGUUUCAUACCUCUCUCUUGUUUUAUCUCUAAACCAUGCCAUACACUCCUCCUGUGAUGGAAUUAUUGAUUGCAUUAUUCAUUAUUAUCUCCCUUUUUUCACCUUGAGAAUGCAUUUUUUCCCCAUUGUUUACAUUGUAAUAUAGUAUUUAUGAGAUUGUUGUAUGUUUUGUUCAAGAAUACUGUGGUUGUGGAGAGCAAGAUUUAUAAUAAAAUAAUUUAUACAUUU
rnacentral:misc_RNA from 1 species